CUGCUGACUGGAAGGGGUAGUGUCUGGUAGGAGUUAAAGGGGCACUAUAGUAACCAAAACAACUUUAGCUUAAUGAAGCAGUUUUGGUGUAAAGUGCAUCAUGCCCCUCCAGUCUCGCUGCUCAAUUCUCUGCCAUUUCGGGGUUAAAUCACUUUGUUAAUGCAGGCUAGGCACAGCCCAUCUAAACACUUCCUCUAAAGAGUCAUGUUU